GCUACCUGAUGGAAGAAGAUGAAGAUGCUUACAAGAAACAGUUCCCUCAGUACAUAAAGAACAAUGUAACUCCAGACAUGAUGGAGGAGAUGUAUAAGAAAGCUUAUGCUGCUAUACAAGAGAAUCCAGUCUAUGCAAAGAAGCCAAAGAGAGAAGUUAAAAAGAAGAGGUGAAACCUUCCCAAAAUGUCCCUUGUCCAGAAGAAAGAUCGGGUAGCUCAAAAGAAGGUAAGCUUUCUCAGAGCUCAGAAGCAUGCUGCUGAGAGCUAAACCAAAUUUCUAUGAAGAUUUUUCAAAUAAAGACGAAUAAACUUAU